UUGUUUUUUAACCAGCAGUUUUCAGAUAACAUUAUGUUCUUACAUAAUUGCAAAAGGGUUCUCUAAUGUUUUCUCAGUAAGCCUUUUAAAAUGUUAUCAGAUUAGUAAAA